UCGGCCCACGGCGAUGGAGUUCGCCGAGCCUUCCCGAUUCCGGGUGAACUAAACUGCCUACCCUCCGGUACUGGCUGAUGACUCCUGCCAACAU
rnacentral:ncRNA from 2 species